rnacentral:rRNA from 1 species
AGAGUUUGAUCAUGGCUCAGAUUGAACGCUGGCGGCAGGCCUAACACAUGCAAGUCGAGCGGUAGCACAGAGAGCUUGCUCUCGGGUGACGAGCGGCGGACGGGUGAGUAAUGUCUGGGAAACUGCCUGAUGGAGGGGGAUAACUACUGGAAACGGUAGCUAAUACCGCAUAACGUCGCAAGACCAAAGUGGGGGACCUUCGGGCCUCAUGCCAUCAGAUGUGCCCAGAUGGGAUUAGCUAGUAGGUGGGGUAACGGCUCACCUAGGCGACGAUCCCUAGCUGGUCUGAGAGGAUGACCAGCCACACUGGAACUGAGACACGGUCCAGACUCCUACGGGAGGCAGCAGUGGGGAAUAUUGCACAAUGGGCGCAAGCCUGAUGCAGCCAUGCCGCGUGUGUGAAGAAGGCCUUCGGGUUGUAAAGCACUUUCAGCGGGGAGGAAGGCGAUAAGGUUAAUAACCUCAUCGAUUGACGUUACCCGCAGAAGAAGCACCGGCUAACUCCGUGCCAGCAGCCGCGGUAAUACGGAGGGUGCAAGCGUUAAUCGGAAUUACUGGGCGUAAAGCGCACGCAGGCGGUCUGUCAAGUCGGAUGUGAAAUCCCCGGGCUCAACCUGGGAACUGCAUUCGAAACUGGCAGGCUAGAGUCUUGUAGAGGGGGGUAGAAUUCCAGGUGUAGCGGUGAAAUGCGUAGAGAUCUGGAGGAAUACCGGUGGCGAAGGCGGCCCCCUGGACAAAGACUGACGCUCAGGUGCGAAAGCGUGGGGAGCAAACAGGAUUAGAUACCCUGGUAGUCCACGCCGUAAACGAUGUCGAUUUGGAGGUUGUGCCCUUGAGGCGUGGCUUCCGGAGCUAACGCGUUAAAUCGACCGCCUGGGGAGUACGGCCGCAAGGUUAAAACUCAAAUGAAUUGACGGGGGCCCGCACAAGCGGUGGAGCAUGUGGUUUAAUUCGAUGCAACGCGAAGAACCUUACCUGGUCUUGACAUCCACAGAACUUUCCAGAGAUGGAUUGGUGCCUUCGGGAACUGUGAGACAGGUGCUGCAUGGCUGUCGUCAGCUCGUGUUGUGAAAUGUUGGGUUAAGUCCCGCAACGAGCGCAACCCUUAUCCUUUGUUGCCAGCGGUCCGGCCGGGAACUCAAAGGAGACUGCCAGUGAUAAACUGGAGGAAGGUGGGGAUGACGUCAAGUCAUCAUGGCCCUUACGACCAGGGCUACACACGUGCUACAAUGGCAUAUACAAAGAGAAGCGACCUCGCGAGAGCAAGCGGACCUCAUAAAGUAUGUCGUAGUCCGGAUUGGAGUCUGCAACUCGACUCCAUGAAGUCGGAAUCGCUAGUAAUCGUAGAUCAGAAUGCUACGGUGAAUACGUUCCCGGGCCUUGUACACACCGCCCGUCACACCAUGGGAGUGGGUUGCAAAAGAAGUAGGUAGCUUAACCUUCGGGAGGGCGCUUACCACUUUGUGAUUCAUGACUGGGGUGAAGUCGUAACAAGGUAACCGUAGGGGAACCUGCGGUUG